rnacentral:misc_RNA from 1 species
GAUGAAGAACGCAGCGAAAUGCGAUAAGUAGUGUGAAUUGCAGAAUUCAGUGAAUCAUCGAAUCUUUGAACGCACAUUGCGCCCUUUGGUAUUCCUUAGGGCAUGCCUGUUCGAGCGUCAUUAAAACCUUCAAGCUAAGCUUGGUGUUGGGUGACUGUCCGCUUCACGGCGGACUCGCCUCAAAAUUAUUGGCGGCCGGUACAUUGGCUUCGAGCGCAGCAGAAACGCGAACUCGGGCCCGUCGUAUUGGCUCCCAGAAGCUAUCUUCACAAUUUUGACCUCGGAUCAGGUAGGGAUACCCGCUGAACUUAAGCAUAUCAAUAAGCGGAGGA